GACGUAGGGGGCCAGCGUUGUUCGGAAUUACUGGGUGUAAAGGGUUCGUAGGCGGUGUGGCAAGUCGGGAGUGAAAUCUCUGGGCUCAACCCAGAGACUGCUCCGAACUGCUGUGCUUGAGUGUGAGAGAGGCUCGUGGAAUUGCAGGUGUAGCGGUGAAAUGCGUAGAUAUCUGCAGGAACACCCGUGGCGAAAGCGGCGAGCUGGAUCACUACUGACGCUGAGGAACGAAAGCUAGGGAGCAAACAGG
rnacentral:rRNA from 1 species